rnacentral:rRNA from 1 species
UCCUCAAUUAAAUUAUUUGAGGUAUUGCCUGCUCAAUGCGAAAGUAAAUAGCCGCAGUAUUUUGACUGUGCAAAGGUAGCAUAAUAAAUUGGCCUUUAAUUGGGGUCUGGUAUGAAUGGCUUGACAAGGAUUUGACUGUCUUAGGGAGAAAUAUAUUGAAAUUUAAUUGUUUGUAAAAAUGCAGACAUGUGAGAGAGGGACGAGAAGACCCUAUAGAUCUUUAAAAGAUUUUUAGUUAAAUUGUUUAUGAUUGGAAAUUUUUUUUAUUUGGGGAAAAUCCUGAAAUAUAAUGAAACUUCGGUUAAUAAAAAAAUUUAAUAAUUAAUUUUUGAUCCAUAGAGAGUGAAAAAAUGAAAAAGUUACCUUAGGGAUAACAGGACAAUGAUUGUCUUAGAGGUCUUAUCUUAGACAACGUUUGUUACCUCGAUGUUGAAUUAAGUUAUCUAAUUAAAGGAGAAAUUUUUAUAGUUGGUCUGUUCGACCAUUGAAAAC